AAGAAUACUUUCAGGGAUCAUUUCUAUAGUUCAUUACUAGAGAAGUUUCUCUAAACAUGUAGAGCAUCAAAACCACACAACUACACGCAAACCGAACAAGCUGCUCCUCAAUGACUACUGGG
rfam:Chlorocebus sabaeus isolate 1994-021 chromosome 2, whole genome shotgun sequence.